rnacentral:rRNA from 1 species
UGGGGAAUAUUGGGCAAUGGGCGAAAGCCUUACCCAGCAACGCCGCGUGAGGGAAGAAGGUUUUCGGAUUGUAAACCUCUGUCCUGGGGGACGAAGGAAGUGACGGUACCCCGGGAGGAAGCCCCGGCUAACUACGUGCCAGCAGCCGCGGUAAUACGUAGGGGGCGAGCGUUGUCCGGAAUUAUUGGGCGUAAAGGGCGCGUAGACGGCCGAGUAAGUUAUAGGUGAAAGCCCAUCUUCAAGGAGUGGAAUUGCCUGUAAUACUGCCUGGCUUGAGUGCAGGAGAGGGAAGCGGAAUUCCUAGUGUAGCGGUGAAAUGCGUAGAUAUUAGGAGGAACACCAGUGGCGAAGGCGGCUUUCUGGACUGUAACUGACGUUGAGGCGCGAAAGCGUGGGGAGCAAACAGGAUUAGAUACC